rnacentral:misc_RNA from 1 species
GAAAUGCGAUAAGUAAUGUGAAUUGCAGAAUUCAGUGAAUCAUCGAAUCUUUGAACGCACAUUGCGCCCGCCAGUAUUCUGGCGGGCAUGCCUGUUCGAGCGUCAUUUCAACCAUCAAGCCCCCGGGCUUGUGUUGGGGACCUGCGGCUGCCGCAGGCCCCGAAAACCAGUGGCGGGCUCGCUGUCACACCGGGCUUAGUAGAUUUUUCGUCUCGCCCAGGGCGUGCUGCGGGUUCCGGCCGUUAAAAAGCCUCUCUUUUUAACCCAAGGUUGACCUCGGAUCAGGUAGGAAGACCCGCUGAACUUAAGC